CCAGCAUGCCAUGAAAAGAUAGUGGUAACCAGCAAAGGGGAGUGGUAUUUUAAUUGCAGGAUCAGCAGCAUCAGCAACACCUGGGCACCUGUUAGAAAUGCGGAAACCCAAGGCCCAGCCCAGACCCAUCAAACCAGAAUCUGCCUUGUGUAUAUAUGCCAUACACAAAAUAUUUCCAAGCAUGGCUGACAAUAGAGAGAGACUCUUACAGGGCAGAUGUGGAUGAAGGUAUAGACAUUAGUGACUUGCCUGCCCUGAUGGGUUCCGACAACGAUGAGAAGUGAAUAGAUGACCCUCUUCCUGUCUCUCCUACACUCCAGUCUGCUGUACCUCCCAGCACCUCAACCUCCAAUAUUCAGCCUAAGCUGCCGCCAUCACCACCACCACCUCAGCCUUCCAGUGUGCUCAGUGUCUUCCCGAUUCUGGUUGUUACCUCACACGCAUGUGUUGAUGGAUCGCCAGCUCGAUGUUGAAGUGAGACUGCCAGUUCAUCUCCUUAGAUCUCCCGGUGCAGGGCUUUCCUCUCAGUAUUUUGACCUGCAAAAUACUUGCUGCCUUGAUCUCCUUGGACUCAACUUUGUUUCAAGUUAGGGAGUCCAUGAAUUCUGCCUGGGUUCGCUGUCCCUGGGGCAGGAUCUGGAAACUCUCUCAAGGCAAUGAGUUGUGGCAGUUGGAGAGUUCACAUUGUUUCCAGUCUCUCAGGAUGACCGCUGUACAGUUUCAUGUCUGGAAAGUCUUUGUUUCAUUUAUUUUGUUUGUUUGUGGAUUGUUUCAGGUGGGAGAGUAAAUCUGAUCACUGCUACUUCAUCUUGGCCAAGAAUGGAAGAGUCUGAAUUUUAAUUUUAUUUACAUAUAAUUAAUUUAUACUUAAAUUCCUAUAGCCCCUAUGAUGAGUGUCAUCUGAACUUCACAACACAGCUUUAGAUGCUUUGAGAGUGCUCUGUAGUCUAAGUCUGACCACACAGCAGGUUUUAUCUUCCUCCCGGGAAGUCACAGGGUGAAAGUCCCUCCGUAAAGGCUGCUGAAAUGAGCAUUUCCCAUACUUUUUUUGGCUCUAGAAACAUUUCAUUAUGUGAUAGCUGUUAACAUCCUGUGAAGUUCUGUUUUGCAGAAGAGUUUUGGAAGAUGCUCCUUAGAGAAGUUAGUUUAUAUUUAACACAUUUGCUGUCAGUGUCAAGAGAAGAAUUUCCCCAAGAUAUUAGGACCAGAAUUCCUAAUUUUACUUCUUUUGUGUGAGUCAAGAUUUUUUCGGAAUCCUUCUCUCUGCAGGAAUAGCUUUCUUGAUUGACAGAAUGAAAAAUAAUAAAGACAGCAUCUUUCAUGGGCCCUGAGAUGCAUGUUGUAUAUCUUCUGUAUUUUAUGUAUUUUCUGAUGAAGGAAUGAAUAAAUGUUAUUUUUUCAUUAAAAAUAUUUUCUAGAUAUGUCCACUGAGAAGGAUUCAAAACAUUGCCUAGCCAAGUAUCAAUGGGUUACCCUAGUGUCUAUACUAUGGCACCCAAAUUAUAAUUUUCACUAAAAGUAAAUAAGAUAAAUUAAAGAUGAAAAUAAUUACAGAUAUGGAGAAAGCAAUUUAGAAGGUGAGAGUGAAAUAUCUUGUUAUACAAUAUAGCAAGAAAACUGUCAAAAACAGCUAAUAUAUUAAGACUGUAUUAACUUAGAUGCUACAGGGAAUCAGGAGCCUACUUCACAUGGCUCCUACUGGUCAAUGAUGGCUCAACUUGAGGAUUCAUAAGCUUAAUGACUGCAAUGAAUUUAAACAUAUCACAUAAUUUUUUAAGUAAUGAUUUCAUAAUGACACCAAAAUAAUUAAAAGAUAAUUGAUCACCACUGGAUGUUGGUUGGGAAGGAAAUCAUUCUUUUUAAUUCUUUCUUAACAACAAUAAACAUUAAAAUACCACAGAACAACUAAAGAGUAGAUGAAAUAAAUUUCUCUUUCAAUUUCCUUCAGCUAAUAAAUGAAGAAGAAAUGACUUUUGUAAUCCCCAAUGCAUUAUUGUGGGCUGAUAACAUCAAUAGAAAGAGAUAAUCAAAAAAUAAUGGUCUUCUGAAGGAAGAACAAAAUACCGUCUAUGAAAUAGACAUGUUAAAACACUAAGUUCAAAUUUCAUAAUGCCUCCUAGCUCUAACUACCCAUUUACACAAAAUACAGAUGACUUAUAAUCAUAGUGAACACCUAGUGAUGCAAUGAGAAAACUCCAGACUAUGGGAAACAUUGUAGGGCCAAUAACCCAUUUUCACCAAGAAAAGAAUUAAUAAGAUGAAAUAAAGAUUUAGAGGGGUAACCUAUACAUUAAAAGAGAUUGAAAAGAUACAUCAACCCAUCACAAUGUGGGAACUUUUAUGGAUUCUGAUUCAAACAAAUAGUGUUUGCAGCUGAAAGUAUUGAAGAUAUUAUUGAUUGGCUAUUUGAUGAUAUUAAGAAUUUAUUGUCACAUUUUUAGGCUUUAAAUUAGUGUUUUGGUUGUGUAGAUGGAAAAGUAUUAUCUUUAAGAGAUUUAUUUAAGUAUUAUCAAUUGAAUUACAAACUGUGAAGUCCUUAAAAAUGAUAUA
ensembl:lncRNA